rnacentral:lncRNA from 1 species
AUGGCCAAGAAAAGAUGCCUAAAAAAGCCCUUUCAGAUUAGCCUUGAAGACUAAAAGAAAUGAAGAAAAACUUGGCAGAAAUUGGUAAAUGACAAAUUUUUUGUAGAUAUGCUAUGCUAAAUAAUCACCGACACUUGUAUAUUAUUGAAAAUUAGCUGGACAACAAUGGAAUGUUAGUUUGAGAUUUGGGAAAUGAAAAACCCAAAGUGAGGUAAGUCCAAGAUAUCAUCCAACAUGAGAAAAGAACGUUACUACCUCCCACGUCAGCUAUUUGCUUCAAAAGAUAAACGUAUUUCAGAAGAAACAGAAGAUCGUGCUCAAAACCAGGAAAUAUGUCCCUUUGAAAUGGACUCCAACAGUAAUGACAACUCCAAGGUUCAUUUGGGAAGGGUUUAUACAAGUUCCUCUUCAGGAAACUGACCUUCUAGGAUAAGGAAUGUCAUUCCAAAUAGAAGAAUCAAUACCUGCUAUUCCUCAGGACAAACUAAAAAUUGAUAUUGACUAUUCUAGUUGAACAUAAUCUACUGACAAUGUCUUUGAUAGAACUGUACCUAAUCUAAUCAUUUGGCAGGAAAAUCUUUUCAAUGGGAAAAAAAUUAGAUUUGCUGGGCUUCUAGUAAACACACACACACUAGAAAAUGUAGAACAAAAUGUUUUUCAAUGAAAUAAGGACAAAAUUAACCCAUCAUCAAGGCUGAUUCACCUAGGAAGACUUAUAAAUCAAAAGUAGUCAUUUUUGAUCCUAAAUAUGAACAAGCUAAAGCUAAGCUUAGAGAUGCAUAAGGCAGAAAAAGUGACAGUAGGAACCAAUCAAAAUGUAUAUCAAGGUAUAAAGGGAAGAAAAAUGAAAAUUAAAAAAACUUUCUAAAAAUAUUGGGAGGGGCCUGUCAUUUUUAGCAAUGCUUACAAUUUUAAUUUUGUGUUAUAUCACUCCUUUAUAAUAAAAUAAAAUGAGAAAUUAUUCUAAAAGAGAAGAAAGUAGCAAUGAGUCUGAGAUGAGCCCUAGUGAACCAAGUCCAGGAGAUUAUUAAAAUGACUUUUACUUGCCUUCCAAAAACAUAAACAAGUACACUCAAAAUCUUGCCAAAGAAUCAGACAGGAGCCCAAUUACCAUGCUUCCAUCCAGAAGAGCAUUAAACCAUACUUCACUGGGUUUUAAAUAUAGAAAAGUAGACUGAAUAUUCCAAACCAACAAAAAUUCGCAUCGCUGGACCACCUGAAACUCUUCAGUCACUUCAUUUCAUUCUGAAGAGUAUCACCAAUGUCUAUUUAUCUCCUAUAGUCAAAUCAUAAAACCAAAUGUUUCUCCAAAAAAUAAUGAAGCCCAGCAUUGACAACCUAAGUGUAGGUGCACAGCCAGCAUGAACUAUAAGGAACCCAAAGUCACUUUGAAACUGACAAGAUGGCACCUGUUAAAAUUUGUUUCUUGAAAUCUUCUAUUUCCCAA